GAGAGGGCUGGAGUAGGAGCUUUCCAUGAAGCUGAAGGAAGGGAUGGUGGAUGGGGCAGGAGCUUUCCACAUUGCUGGUGAGGGCUGUGCAAGAAGAGACUCUGCUCUUCCUCAAGGACUUAGUCCUGUCCUUUCUCAGCAGCUGAACUUCUGCUGUUUGCUGUAGCUGGGUUCCUAAGCCAGGCUGGGGUUUGCAUGCAGAAACUGAGAGUAGUGCUGAAAUGAGGUGGAAAUGAGAAUGAAAUUUAGCUACUGAGAGCUGUUGUUUUGUUAGUAUGAAAGAGAUCUGCACCAGCAGUGCCUGUGGGAGCUACCUGGACUCCUCUCUGAUGCUUGGUAAACCCAAGCCUUCUAGCAGGGAUGGUUUGUGGUGGAGCAGCUGUUGCAAGUGUCAGCCACCAGCAAAGCUCUUCACGUUGUGUGGAUUGGUUGUAGAGAGGCAGCUCCCUGGAGUGCUGCAGCACUCGACUGCUCAGCCUUAACUGACAUUUCAGCUCAGUGGCACUGGCUGUGGAGCUGGUAGCACCUGGGGUCCUGUUUUAGUGCGUUUUAACUCACUUAAAGAGAAGCUGCAGUAUCUGAGCAGGUGCAGAAGAGCUGCUAAGGGCAUGCUCUGCAGAUCUGAGAAGCUCAGUAAUGGCUGGGCAAAAGAUGUUUUUGAUGACUGAUUUGGAUCCUGGGGAGACUGCAGAACUCAAACCCCAUCUGAGCUUCUGGGAGUUGCAUUGUACACUGGUGCUGAGCUGCCAAGCUGGUGGUGCAGGAUCCACGUCCCCUGCGUUGGGGUGGGUGCUGCAGUGGGAAGCUCUGGUCGUGGCCCUGUGGUCUGGGAAGGUGGUAAAGGCAGCUUCUCAUCCAGGAUUAGCAUUCCCCAAGCCUUCAGCAGCUCUGCACUCAGAAACUACAGCUUGGUUUCAGUGAAUGGUGGCAAGUGACCCUUCUGCCUGCAAUGUGCUGUCAGCAGAGCCCAAGCAGAGAGUGUUGAUGAGAAGACUCUGGGAAGACCUAAUAGCACCUGAAGGGAGCUACAAGAAGGCUGCAGUGGGACUGUUUGGGAAGACCUAAUAGCACCUGAAGGGAGCUAUGAGAAGGCUGCAGUGGGACUGUUUGGGAAGACCUAAUAGCACCUGAAGGGAGCUACAAGAAGGCUGCAGUGGGAUUGUUUGGGAAGACCUAAUAGCACCUGAAGGGAGCUACAAGAAGGCUGCAGUGGGACUGUUUGGGAAGACCUAAUAGCACCUGAAGGGAGCUACAAGAAGGCUG